CCCGGGUAUAGUGGCAUGCACCUGUGGUCCCAGCUGCUUGGGAGGCUGAGGCAGGAGGAUCACUUGAGCCCAGGAGUUCGAGGCUGCAGUGAGCCAUGAUUGCACCACUGCACUCCAGCCUGGGCAACAGAGUGAAACCCUGUCUCUU
rnacentral:SRP_RNA from 2 species